GGAGAAUAUUUCACCAGCAACGACCCUUCAUCCAUUCAUUGGUUCAACAAAUAUUUAAGCACCUACCCACGUGUCAGCCUGUGUGUGUGCAGACCUGAGUAGGCCUUGCACUCCGGGAGCUAUGUCCCCACAAGCUGUCCUGCUAUCAGAUCCCACUUGUGUCAAGGGAUGUAAAGCAGAGGGCUCUUCACAACAAUGAGCGCUGGCAUUUCAAGCACCUGAAGGAUACUUCCCAAUCUGUCAUCCCAAGGCCUGGGGAUCCCCUUGCCCAUCCAGCUCAGACCCCGAAGGCCCACUGGCUUCGGGCCACCAGGGCUGCCGCGGUAUCGCUGCCUGAAAGUAUGCAGAGAAGGCUGCUUACUCCUGUUGUGGGGGCCCAGCAAGACCAGAUGCCAUCCCCUCAUCCCGGCCCUGACGCUGGGGCCCCACCCAUUCCAGGCUCGUCCAUUUUCACUCUCUUCAGCACUUGAGGAAAGUGAGAUAGAACCCAAGGGUUAGAAUGUCUCUGUAGCUCCCAAUCGGGUCCCCAAAGCAAGGUAGGGUGAU